CGCGUAGGCGGAUCAGCAAGUUAGGGGUGAAAUCCCGGGGCUCAACCCCGGAACUGCCCUUAAAACUGCUGGUCUUGAGUUCGAGAGAGGUGAGUGGAAUUCCGAGUGUAGAGGUGAAAUUCGUAGAUAUUCGGAGGAACACCAGUGGCGAAGGCGGCUCACUGGCUCGAUACUGACGCUGAGGUGCGAAAGCGUGGGGAGCAAACAG
rnacentral:rRNA from 1 species